rnacentral:rRNA from 1 species
UGGGGAAUUUUGGACAAUGGGCGAAAGCCUGAUCCAGCAAUGCCGCGUGUGUGAAGAAGGCCUUCGGGUUGUAAAGCACUUUUGUCCGGAAAGAAAUCCUCUGGGUUAAUACCUCGGGGGGAUGACGGUACCGGAAGAAUAAGCACCGGCUAACUACGUGCCAGCAGCCGCGGUAAUACGUAGGGUGCAAGCGUUAAUCGGAANUUACUGGGCGUAAAGCGUGCGCAGGCGGUUUUGUAAGACGGAUGUGAAAUCCCCGGGCUUAACCUGGGAACUGCAUUCGUGACUGCAAGGCUAGAGUAUGGCAGAGGGGGGUAGAAUUCCACGUGUAGCAGUGAAANUGCGUAGAGAUGUGGAGGAAUACCGAUGGCGAAGGCAGCCCCCCUGGGCCAAUACUGACGCUCAUGCACGAAAGCGUGGGGAGCAAACAGGAUUAGAUACCCUGGUAGUCCACGCCCUAAACGAUGUCAACUAGUUGUUGGGGACUUCAUUUCCUUAGUAACGUAGCUAACGCGUGAAGUUGACCGCCUGGGGAGUACGGUCGCAAGAUUAAAACUCAAAGAAUUGACGGGGUCAUGCUGUUUCCU